rnacentral:rRNA from 1 species
AGUAACGCGUGGAUAACCUGCCUCACACUGGGGGAUAACAGUUAGAAAUGACUGCUAAUACCGCAUAAGCGCACAGUGCCGCAUGGCAGUGUGUGAAAAACUCCGGUGGUGUGAGAUGGAUCCGCGUCUGAUUAGCCAGUUGGCGGGGUAACGGCCCACCAAAGCGACGAUCAGUAGCCGACCUGAGAGGGUGACCGGCCACAUUGGGACUGAGACACGGCCCAAACUCCUACGGGAGGCAGCAUG